rnacentral:rRNA from 1 species
UACGGAGGAUGCAAGCGUUAUCCGGAAUGAUUGGGCGUAAAGCGUCCGCAGGUGGCUGUGUAAGUCUGCUGUUAAAGAGUGAGGCUCAACCUCAUAAAAGCAGUGGAAACUACACGGCUAGAGUGCGUUCGGGGCAGAGGGAAUUCCUGGUGUAGCGGUGGAAUGCGCAGAUAUCAGGAGGAACACCGAUAGCGAAGGCAGCUCGCUGGGACGGUACUGACGCUGAGGCGCGAAAGCGUGGGGAGCAAACGGG